rnacentral:rRNA from 1 species
CCUACGGUGCGCAGCAGUGGGGAAUAUUGCACAAUGGGGGAAACCCUGAUGCAGCGACGCCGCGUGAGUGAAGAAGUAUCUCGGUACGUAAAGCUCUAUCAGCAGGGAAGAAAAUGACGGUACCUGACUAAGAAGCCCCGGCUAACUACGUGCCAGCAGCCGCGGUAAUACGUAGGGGGCAAGCGUUAUCCGGAUUUACUGGGUGUAAAGGGAGCGUAGACGGCAGCACAAGUCUGGAGUGAAAUCCCGGGGCUUAACCCCGGAACUGCUUUGGAAACUGUGCGGCUGGAGUGCAGGAGGGGUAAGCGGAAUGCCUAGUGUAGCGGUGAAAUGCGUAGAUAUUAGGAGGAACCCCGAUUGCGAAGGCAGCCUGCCGCAGCGUUACUGACGCUGAAGCUCGAAAGCGCGGGUAUCGAACAGGAUUAGAUACCCUUGUAGUC